rnacentral:rRNA from 1 species
CCUACGGGAGGCAGCAGUGAGGAAUAUUGGUCAAUGGACGAGAGUCUGAACCAGCCAAGUAGCGUGAAGGAUGACUGCCCUAUGGGUUGUACACUUCUUUUAUAAAGGAAUAAAACGAGGCACGUGUUCCUUUUUGCAUGUACUUUAUGAAUAAGGAUCGGCUAACUCCGUGCCAGCAGCCGCGGUAAUACGGAGGAUCCGAGCGUUAUCCGGAUUUAUUGGGUUUAAAGGGAGCGUAGAUGGGUUGUUAAGUCAGUUGUGAAAGUUUGCGGCUCAACCGUAAAAUUGCAAUUGAUACUGGCAGUCUUGAGUACAGUUGAGGUAAGCGGAAUUCGUGGUGUAGCGGUGAAAUGCUUAGAUAUCACGAAGAACCCCGAUUGCGAAGGCAGCUUACUAAACUGUGACGGACAGUGAUGCUCGAAAGUGUGGGUAUCAAACAGGAUUAGAUACCCCAGUAGUC